UGCCAAAGUUUUUGUUGUACAUGGUGGGGUUUUUUUACCAGAGUUUUGACAAUUGCUGGUUUAUCAAAGAUCUUUACGUUAAAUACAUGAUUAUUUUUUGCUAAGCUCUUUGAAAAAGUCGUUCAAGAAGUCAGAAAAGACGUUAACGAAAUGACGACCGUUACAGAAUGGCAUUGCGGAAAUUUUCGUUGCACAAGGUCGGGUUUCUCUUGGCGAAUUGUUGCCUCCAAUAUUAGCUGCUUUUUUGUCCAUCGUUUGUAUCUUUACUGUUUACUGAAAUAACUGCCGAAAGUUUGUGUAAGAACAUGUUACAUGUUACAUGUUCGUUCGCUGAAUCCCGGCUAUCGGGCUCAUAUAAAUAGUCCCUAAAACUAAAGGUAAGUUUGCUAAUUAAAAGAGAUCAAAUGUUAAUGCUAAUAAAUACAAUAAGAAAAUGAGAUGAAGAUAACAAUCUAGAGGGUUUAUCAAAUCAUUUUUGACAUCAGUGGACCUUUAGAAUUUGCAUGAUUCAGCUGUAGUUGUUCCCCAAGGAGACUUAAAUGUUUGGGAUUUGCUAUUUGCUGUAGCUGAAGUAUACGUUUUUUUUUAUAUUGUAUUAAAUUGCAUUUACCGCUCUAUGGGGAUUAAUUACUUCUAAGUGAUGAAUCAUGCAAAUUCUAAAUUUCACAAUGUACAAUUGACGACACACCUAGUAAAUGACCAAUCCGAACACAACAGUUUAGGACACACCUAGUAAAUGACCAAUAAGAACACAACACGUUUACAACACGCCUAGUCACUGACCAAUCAGAAUACAACACGUUCGUGAAACUUGGGCCAUAGUCUAAGACUAAGAACGUGCCAUUUGAACGUGAAAGUCUGUAGUUGCACGAAGAAUAGUUAGCCGAAGUCGAAAUUAUUCCACGGUGAAAUAUCUCUUGGAGUGCUUUGAAAAAUUGUUCAGACAUGGACAUUCUUCUCUUAAACGACAAUUAGUCAUCAAAUGAGAUUGAGAAACAACGAACAAAUGUUGGUGUAUUUACCAUGAUCGUAGACUCCACAAUUAAAGAAAGUGGUUAUUGUUCACAGCGGUUGAAGAGAAUUGUGGCUGUUGUCGACCAGUUCCUCGACGCUCAUCUAAACAUAAGAACAAAAUACAAUUCUGUAAUUUGGUUGAAAUUCUUCUUCCCUUGAACUACAUUACUAGUGAAUAAAAUGUUCAAUAAACCUUCUGAUCAAGAAUGGACAAUAUACGUACUUUAAUGAAAUCCUCUGAACAAUGAUCAAGAAUGAACAGCAUACUUUAAUGAAGUCCUCUGAAGAAUGCUCAAGAAUGAACAAUUUACUUUAACGAAGACCUCUGAACAAUUAUCAAGAAUGAACAAUAUACUUUAAUGAACUCUUCUGAACAAUGAUCAAGAAUGAACAAUAUACUUUAAUGAACUCUUCUGAACAAUGAUCAAGAAUGGACAAUAUACUUUGAUGAAAUUGAAAAAUACGUGACUUCUAAUGUCCUAAAGACCAUCUCUACAAAGAAUGCAAACGCUAAACACUCUUCUGGAGCAAUGCAUCCAUCAGCCUAACGCCUGUUU